UCUUUCCCCCCCUUUUCUUUUGUUUCUCUUUUCCUUUUUUUUUUCUUUUUUUUUCUUUUAUUUUUUCCAUCCUUUCAUUUAUUUUUUCUCUUUUUUCUUUUAUUUUUUCCUUCAUUUUAUUUAUGUAUCCUUUCUUCUUUUCAUUUCUGUUUUUUUCCUUCUUUCUUUCUUUCUUUUCUUUUUUUCCCCCUUUCCUUUCUUUUCAUUUUUCCCUUUUCCUUCCCCUUCCCCCUUUCCUUCCCUUGUUUUAAUUUUCCUUUAUUUCUCUUUCCUGUCUCUUUUCCUCUCCUUUAUCUUUUUCUCUUCCCUUACUUCCAUCUAUUCACUUCUCCCACUUCAUUUUCCCUCACUGACUCCACUCCGUUCCUCCCCUCAUUCCCUCACUUCACCAUCACUCCCCCCCUCCAUCUCUCUUUGCCCCCUCCCCACACCCAGCCCAGCAGCAGCAACUCCCCCUGGGAUAUCCCCACGUUCCCGGAGACCUUUGGGGUUUCCUCCUGCCUAUUGGGGUGGGGGCAGUGGGUUUUUAAGCCCCCAAAUGCCCAUUUCAGGGGAAACACCUUUGGUUGCACAGUGAUGCUGCGACGUGCGUCGGUGUAAAGCGGCUCCUGGAAUAGGAGAAGACGAAAGUUGCUCCUGAGUUCGCUGCCUGCAGGGCUGCUGUGGGGAGGCUGCUGCUGGCACGAGGAGAAGCACCCUUGAGAUCAACACUAAGAGAAAGAAGAAAAGUAGUGAAGGAUUGAUGUGUGAUGCAGGACAGCUCUGAGCCAAGAAGCAGUGCAGAAGGUAAGGCACACCCAAGCUCUGCAGUACUGAUCUGCUCCACACCUUCCAUGAAACUGGUGCUCUUCUUCUGCAUUUUAACCAGCUACCAAAACAUCUCUGUGAUUUUCCAGCACUGUUUUCCCUUCUCACCAUACACGUUACAGUAAUGGUAACAGAUGGGAAAAGCUGGACAGCACCAAUAUGGUGUCACUCACAGAAUCUGAGUCAAGCCCUUUAUGUGCUUGGCCACCCACUCUUUCAUUUAAUCACUUGCAAUUUGCUGAAAGCCCUAGCCAACUUCACUUGGCAGAGCUGCAGGUGAAGAAGUGAUGUUUCACAAGAUUCUGAUUUCGGCUGUUUAAAUUCUGUUUUUUUAAAGAAGCACUGAUAGUCAUGAACGGGCUGAGCUUGCUUGUGUGCUGAGGAUCCCAAUCCUGGCACACAGCUCUGCAGGGAGGUUGGGCUCUGAAAUGAUGUGCGUGAUCUGCACAUUUCUCUUCUUACCUCUAAAAACUUCAUAGCCUAGGUAGGCUCGCCAUGUAGGGAUUAGUCCAUGGGCUGCUGAUGCACAGCUACCAUGGGGGUGUGUGAUUGACAGGGGAGCACGGGCAAUCUCACUGCAGAGGCUGGAGGCUGCUGCCAGCAGCACAUUUCUUCUUCCCCAACUCUCCUAUCACUCCUGUAAGGAAGCCAGAGGAUGGGAAUUGUUCAUCACUGAGCUCUGAAGUACUGAUGAAACUGCUGAUGAAUCUGGGCUUGAACCAGGAGCCAAAGGCACAAGGGCAC
rnacentral:lncRNA from 1 species